GAGCCGAGCCCUGAAGGUGUAAGUAGGUGAAACUGGAGUGGGUUGGAGAAGAGUUGCAGGCAGGGGAACAGCAUGUGCAAAGGUCCUGAGUCAGAAGGGAGCAUGGCCUAAUGAAGUAGCAGAAGAAGGUGACAUCUUCUGUUCUCCACCUGGAGUGGAGAGAGCAGUGGAGAUGGGGCAGCGGCUGGAGGGGUCGCUGAGUGUGGUACAAGCAGGGGCCAGAUGAAGCUGGGCUUUUAAACCAGGGGAAUGCCCAACUGAGGGAUAGCCUCAGUUAUUCAUUUCUUUCCCGCUGUCAUGGCGUCGACCCAUCUAGUUGGAUAACAUUGAGUCCAUCCACUGAGCACGUAGACAAUCGGCAAACGGCGGGAAUAGCCUUAAGCUGGAAGUAAAUCUAUGGAAUCCAUUUGGAAUGCUCUGAGGGGCGGUGUGGCCCCUGGAGGAUUUCCUGAGCUAUGCUGUUCUCCAGAGACUUGGUGAGAUUCACAAGCAGUGCCUUGGGAGAUACUUUGGCGAGAUUGGAAUAUUGUGGGGUGAGGAAGCGAAGAUAAGAACACCCUGGUGUAAAAGAAAUGUCCAUCGCGAGGUCAGUUCCUUCUUCUGCAUUGUGAGAGGGAUGCCAGCCCUGAUAUCAGGUCCCUUAUGUUAAACCCAGCGUGGAUGGGGUUAAAACCAAAUGCACUCAUUCCCUCUCCCUGCUUCUCUAAGUCACAUUCAUAUGUAAAUAUCGUUUUUUAAACCUUUGUAUCCCUGAACUUUACAAGGCAAAUAGAAGUUACUAAUUGUUAAAAGCCCAGGUGACCUCAAGCUGGGCUCACACUGAAGUUUCGGCUAAUGACCAGUUCUUGAGGUUUGUUACAGGGAAACUGAUAUCCAGAGAAUAUGAAGAAGGUAAAGCUUCUCAGACGUCAACUCCUUAGCUUCCUGGCUCCAGAAUCCACCCUCCACCACAGAGACAGACAACCAAGGACACCCCCACCUGUGAUUCCCCUAUCCCACCAUCCUCCUCCCUGCCAGUGGCCUCGCAAAGCCAAAGGCAGGCUGGUGAGAAAGCACCAACCAGCAGGCAGCCGCAUUCCUCUCGACCUUUAAAACCCCAUGCCUCCCAUCCUUCGGGAAGACAGGACAAAUUUGAGAGCUCUCAUCUCCCGGCUGAUGUCACCUGAAAUAAAAACUC